rnacentral:rRNA from 1 species
UUAAGCAUAUCAAUAAGCGGAGGAAAAGAAACUAACAAGGAUUCCCCUAGUAACGGCGAGUGAAGCGGGAUGAGCUCAAAUUUAAAAUCUGGCAGUCUAAGAUUGUCCGAGUUGUAGUCUAGAGAAGCGUUUUCCGCGUAGGCCUGUGUACAAGUCCCUUGGAAUAGGGCGUCAUAGAGGGUGAGAAUCCCGUCCUUGACACAGAUCAUCUAUGCUUUGCGAUGCGCUCUCGAAGAGUCGAGUUGUUUGGGAAUGCAGCUCAAAAUGGGUGGUAAAUUCCAUCUAAAGCUAAAUAUUGGCGAGAGACCGAUAGCGAACAAGUACCGUGAGGGAAAGAUGAAAAGCACUUUGGAAAGAGAGUUAAACAGUACGUGAAAUUGUUGAAAGGGAAACGAUUGAAGUCAGUCAUGUGGUUCGAGAUUCAGCCGGUUCUGCCGGUGUAUUUCUCGAGCUACAGGCCAGCAUCAGUUUCGACCGGUGGAAAAAGUUGGAGGGAACGUGGCAUCCUCGGAUGUGUUAUAGCCCUCUUUCAGAUGCAUCGGACGGGACUGAGGAACGCAGCGUGCCUUUAUGGUCGGUCUUCGGACACGAACGCGCUUAGGAUGCUGGCAUAAUGGCUUUAAACGACCCGUCUUG